rnacentral:rRNA from 1 species
CGAAGCCGUAGCGAAAGCGAGUCGUUAAUAGGGCGAAAUAGUCAGGAUGCUGCAGACCGAAACGAAGUGAUCUAUCCAUGAGCAGGUUGAAGCUGGUGUAAGAGCCAGUGGAGGACCGAACCGCUGACGUUGAAAAGUCUUGGGAUGACUUGUGGAUAGGGGUGAAAGGCCAAUCAAACUUCGUGAUAGCUGGUUCUCUCCGAAAUAUAUUUAGGUAUAGCCUUGUGUUGUAGCAUAUAGGGGUAGAGCACUGAAUGGGCUAGGGCUGCUUACCGCGGUACCAAACCCUAUCAAACUAUGAAUACUAUAUGUGGAAUCACAGGAGUCAGGCGGUGGGUGAUAAAAUCCGUCGUCAAGAGGGGAACAACCCAGACUAACAGCUAAGGUCCCUAAGUUACAUCUAAGUGGAAAACGAUGUGGAGUUACUGUGACAACCAGGAGGUUGGCUUAGAAGCAGCCAUCCUUUAAAGAAAGCGUAACAGCUCACUGGUCUAGUGAUUCUGCGCGGAAAAUAUAACGGGGC